rnacentral:lncRNA from 1 species
GUUAAACCUCCAUCAAACAGACACACGGCGCACAAAAGAAAACCUCAUCACCAAGGGAAACUAAUCCACCGGUGCGCAAUGUAAGCCUGUCAACUUUUUAUUAUAAGAAGUCAUCACUCAUUUCAGUGAAGAUUAAAAGUAUGACUAAAUUGAGAAAAUCCUCUUAGCCAUUUGGAAUUUUAAUAGAGGAGAAAAGGGGGUGAGUAAAAUUUAGACUCUGUGUGUGUGUGCAUGUGCGUGCGUGUAUAUAUAUAUAUAUAUAUAUGUAUGUAUAUAUAUAUAUAAACAUAUAUAUAUGCACACAUGUGAAGUUGUGUGCAUAUAUAUAAAUACACACACAGUAUCAACAUGCCUAUGUGUGCAUGCACAUACAUAUCAACAUUUGUAUAUACACAUUAUUUGGAUGAAUGUCAUAAUUAUGUAUAUAACUUCAGCCCCCUAAAAAGGAAAAGCUACCAAAAUUCAUACAUAAACAUGUAGCCUUCUAGUAGGUUUUCUCAGUUACCACAGACAAACAGUUUCUGAUUCAGAGGAACUUAAGAGAUAAGAAUGGAAAAUGAGUCCUCACAGCUUUAAUUACAUCGCCACUGGCAACAAGGUGUUACAGUGGCAGAAUGACAAUUGCUUUUACUCAGAGUAUAGAUUCAGGGUCAAUAUGCUAUUUCAUCCUAGUACACCAGAGCAGAUGAGCACCAUGUUGUUUCUAUAUUGGCCUUGCAAUACUUGAUUCCUGCAGGAAAAGUUAGUCUGAUGUGCAAUUAGAAUUACAGGAGAUACAUGCAUCCAUAGUUAACUGGAACUAGGUUUUGUAAAUUAUAUUAAAUGUAGUGUGUUUCAUUUAAGCUGUCAUUGAAAAUGUGGGUAAUCUUUUGCAUUUAAAGACCAUAAUCAUCUUGCCUUUCCAAAGAUCUUAACCUGUGUUACAGCACAAGCAUUUCUCCAGUCUGAAGUUUGAAAAUGAUCAGCUGUUAUCCCUGAAGUCCUAAGUCACCUUUUUAAAAUGUACACGGAGAACUUUAAGUGUGUAUAACUCCUCCCAUGCCUUGGUGAAUUCUUUCCCCCUCUCUUCACAGCACAGCAAUAAGGUUACACAAGUUACACAUUUGGUUAUUAGUUUCUAGCAGUAAUCCUCAACAUAA